UACGUAGGGUGCAAGCGUUGUCCGGAAUUAUUGGGCGUAAAGAGCUCGUAGGCGGUCUGUCGCGUCGGAUGUGAAAACCCAGGGCUCAACCCUGGGCCUGCAUUCGAUACGGGCAGACUAGAGUUCGGUAGGGGAGACUGGAAUUCCUGGUGUAGCGGUGAAAUGCGCAGAUAUCAGGAGGAACACCAAUGGCGAAGGCAGCACUCUGGGCCGGUACUGACGCUGAGGAGCGAAAGCGUGGGGAGCAAACAGG
rnacentral:rRNA from 1 species